CCUACGGGGGGCUGCAGUGGGGAAUCUUGCGCAAUGGGCGAAAGCCUGACGCAGCAACGCCGCGUGCGGGAAGAAGGCCCUCGGGUUGUAAACCGCUUUCAGCAGGAACGAAAAUGACGGUACUUGCAGAAGAAGGUGCGGCCAACUACGUGCCAGCAGCCGCGGUGACACGUAGGCACCAAGCGUUGUCCGGAUUUAUUGGGCGUAAAGAGCUCGUAGGCGGUUCGGUAAGUCGGGUGUGAAAACUUUGGGCUUAACCCAAAGCCUGCAUCCGAUACUGCUGUGACUAGAGUUCGGUAGGGGAGCGGGGAAUUCCUAGUGUAGCGGUGAAAUGCGCAGAUAUUAGGAGGAACACCGGUGGCGAAGGCGCCGCUCUGGGCCGAUACUGACGCUGAGGAGCGAAAGCGUGGGUAGCAAACAGGAUUAGAUACCCCAGUAGUC
rnacentral:rRNA from 1 species